AAAAAGGUCAAGUUGUUUUUUUUUUUUUUUGUUUUGUUUUGUUUUUAACAGAGUAUAUUGAAUUAAGUGAAAAAAGGCUAUCAGCAGUAGAGGAAGAAUGACCACAGGGUCCAGGACUGAACAGAGAGCCUCCUGCAGACAGAUGCAGCCCACGGAACCAGUUCCCCCUUUGCAUGGGCAUGGGCCCCCAGAUACUCAGUUUAGUUGAAUACCAGGGUUUCCUUGCAUAGGUAAAAAACUUAGUUCAUUAAACGUGUACUGAAUUAACAUAUAAAUGUUUAGGUCCAAUGCAGGAGAGUUUCUUUUUACAAAACAUGGGAUAUUUACAAACAAAAUUAGUCAACUCAGAGUGGCUUGACCUUGGGCCACAUUGGUACUUCCUAACUACCCCAAUCCAUGCCCUUAUGCAUGACCCAGAAUGCUUAUUUAAAAAAAAAAAAAAAAAAAUCUGGCUCUCUCCCAGGCCUACUGAACUGAGAUUUCAGACCUAGAAAUUUCUGUAAGGCUCCCAGAUGACUUCUGAGAUUGGACAUGUUUCGAGAGUCUGAGGAAUGAAGAAUUAGCUAGAUCUGCCUAGGGCCUCCAUGGUCACAGCCACCAACAAAGUGUCUUCACACUGACUUGGUACUGACCUGUACCAAUAAGUCACCUAAUUCAUAAUUUCUCUGUGACCUACCAUGUGUCCUGGCAGAGAAGGAUUGGGUUUACCAUGUCUUAGUGUAGGAAAUUGCAUUGUGAACUAUAGAGAGAAGCCGGUAACCAGCAGAGGGAAUGUGGCAGAGCUUUCGAGGGGACCUUAAGCACACAUCCUUAAAUUCCUCCCUCUUCCUUCUCUAUCCAUUCUCUUUGCUGCACCCUCUUUGCCUCCUGUCUGCUGCCCUUUUCUGUUCCUCUUCUCUCUCCUCCAAGUAGGAAUAUGAGCUGUUUAAAUUUAUCUAUUGAGUCCUACACACUGGCAAUCCUUAUUUCCAAGACUGUUGAGGAGAGCAUACAGUUAGGCUACUGGCUGGCUGUCCUCAAACCUAUUCCACAUGUGUACCCCAAGUAUAGGAACAGUACUCUGGGACAAAGAAAAUGACUCCAGUAUAAUGGAUUGGAAGGCAGUUUCUUAGGAGUAAUAGAAAAGUUCAGAGCUUGAUGACUGGCUUAGCAGCAGCUGAUGUAGAUCACCAGAGCACCCUCCUGCUCUGUGACCAAUUUUUCCCAAUAGCACAGGAAAUCACACUAUGAGUUCUGAAUUCAUCAUGACCCUAACAUUUGUGAAGCUAAGUUACAUCUUUCUCCUGGCUCACUUCUUCAUAAAUAGGAGACUUAGGAUGCUGCUGAAUACCUGAGCCUUGUUAGGGUCAUCAUCCAGCACAGUAGCAUCUGUUGAGAAUUAGUGGCCAAGAAGCGGAGCAUGAGAGGGCCUUGGCUCUUGAGCAGUGGAGUCAUUGGAGGAAAAGCAAGCAGUCCCCACCAAAACCCCAGGCCUGACUCCCAAGUUGGAUCAGUACCACUGGAAGCUGCUAAUCCCUUUUCUCCCUUUGUUCUGAUGCUUUGGGUUCAUCUUGCUUUUCCUUUCCUUGUUUCUUGAAAAAAGAACUUAGAUUAUUGGUUCAAGAACUUAUUUUCUAAGCAUUUUAGGAUCUAAAUUUCCCUCCCAACUGCACCCUAGUCUUGUAUAUUCUCAUAAGUUUCCUUUGAAUUAUUAAGAAGUCUGUUGUUUAACUUCCAAGUAUUUGGGAGGUUUUCCUGUUUUAUUUCUGUUACUGAUUUCUUAUGUAUGGCCAGAGAACACAAUGCUUUUAGUUCUCCUUAAUGUUUUCAGGUUUAUGACUCUGGAUCUGGUUACCUUGGUGAAUGUUCUAUGUCACUUGCCCCCUUGUGGUUUAAUAUAUGUCUCCUCACUGACUUUCUAUCUAGUCAUUCUGUUCAUUCCUGAAAGUGGGAGUAUUGUUGAAUUCCCAACUAAAAUAAUAGAUAUGACAUUUCUGUGUUUUGCUAUUUCUUGUUUUAACUCGAUGCAUUUUGCUUCGUAUAUUAAGUAACCUCACUCCUAGACUAAAGGAAUUGUAAACUAAGUAAGCUAAAAUGAAACGCAAAUAGAUAACUAAAUGAAAUUAGGAAAAUACUACAUGAAGAGCGACAAUGAAAUAGAAACCAUAAAAGAAUUAGACUAAAGGAAUUGUGUUUGCUCUGAAGUUUUACUUUGUUUUAAAUUAAUACACCCAUUUCUGUUUUUUGUUCUUCAUUAAUGUUUGUAUGAUAUGCUGUUACCUAUCCUUUUCAAUCUACCUACAUCAUAUUUUGAGGUUUUUUUCCUCAUAUUUUUAUUGGUGCAUUAUAAUUGUACACAAUGGUGAGAUUUGUUGGUACAUAUUUCUACAUACACAAUAAAACAGCGUGGCCAGUAUCAUUCCCUUGUAUUUCCCCUUUUCCUCCUUUCCUUCUGUUCUACUGAUCUGCUUUUAAUUUCCAAGAGAUCCAUCUUGCCUACCAUUUGCUUUUUUCCUCUCUACUAUCCACAUACGAGAGAAAACAACCCUUGACCUGAGUUUAGCUUAGUUUGCUUAACAUAAUGUUCUCAAGUUUCAUCUGUUUUCCUACAAAUGACAUAAUUUCAUUUUUCUUUAUGGUUGAAUAAAGCUCCAUUUUGUAUGUAUACCACGUUUUCUUUAAUCCAUUCAUCCAUUGAUGACUGGUUCCAUAAUGUGGCUAUUGUGGAAUUUUGUUGCUAUAAAUGUGGGCG
rnacentral:lncRNA from 1 species